CAUGGCAGGACGGAAGAACGCGAGAACGGGGCUCCGUCCCCAUCGUUAAUGUUUUUCUUUUUUUUUUGGUUUUAAAUCUGAUCCACUGGUACACCUCUCGACGAACCCUAAGAACUGGAGAGAGGACGCCACACCGCAGCGCCUCACGGCCGGGUGUGUACCUCUUCGGGACUGACGCUUCCAGAGCCGGGUGACCCGGGGCCAGCACACAAAGGCCACCAGAGGAAUCUGAGGGGCUGAGCGCCCCCCGGGCACGGCGGAGGAGUGGCUUCUGAGCUUACCAUCCAUCUGCCACGUUCUCCUCCUUCAUCGGAUGGGGCAGCCGGUAGAUAUUUCCACCCUGAAGAGGAAAACACAUCUGAGCCACCACAGCAGGAAGGAGGCAUGGAGACGGGACAGCGGAAAGCAUAGGUGUGAUUCUUUGAGACAGGGGAGGAGGCACACGUCUUGGGGGACACCAAAACGAAAGCCAGCCAUCGACACAUCAGACUUCAUCAAAACUUAGAACACCCGUGCUUCACAGGACCAUCAAGACAG